rnacentral:rRNA from 1 species
UACGGAGGGUGCAAGCGUUAUCCGGAUUUAUUGGGUUUAAAGGGUCCGUAGGCGGUUAAAUAAGUCAGUGGUGAAAUCCUACAGCUCAACUGUAGAACUGCCAUUGAUACUGUUUAACUAGAAUUAUUGUGAAGUAGCUAGAAUGUGUAGUGUAGCGGUGAAAUGCAUAGAUAUUACGCAGAAUACCAAUUGCGAAGGCAGGUUACUAACAAUAUAUUGACGCUGAUGGACGAAAGCGUGGGGAGCGAACAGG